rnacentral:sRNA from 1 species
GGUCGGUGGAGGCGUGCUGCGCGUCAUC